rnacentral:rRNA from 1 species
GUAGGUGGCAAGCGUUGUCCGGAAUUAUUGGGCGUAAAGCGCGCGCAGGCGGUUCUUUAAGUCUGAUGUGAAAGCCCACGGCUCAACCGUGGAGGGUCAUUGGAAACUGGAGAACUUGUGUACAGAAGAGGAAAGCGGAAUUCCACGUGUAGCGGUGAAAUGCGUAGAGAUGUGGAGGAACACCAGUGGCGAAGGCGGCUUUCUGGUCUGUAACUGACGCUGAGGCGCGAAAGCGUGGGGAGCAAACAGGGAUUAGAUACCCUGGUAGUCCACGCCGUAAACGAUGAGUGCUAAGUGUUAGGGGGUUUCCGCCCCCUUAGUGCUGCAGCUAACGCAUUAAGCACUCCGCCUGGGGAUACGGCCGCAAGGCUG